ACACACACCCCCGCCUGGCUACUGGUAUAUCCCCGUGAGUCUCCAGACUCUGGAGGCAACACAUGUAUGUAUGUUCAAGUGGGUCUCCUGCACACUGGCCCGUCCAUUACACUCUUACAACCUAGCAUUUCACUGAAUAGACAUAUUUGUACAGCAAACUUUGAGAGACCUUUCUUCCGCACCCUCAGAUCAUUUAUGCACGUAUCAAGAUUCCAUUUCACCAGCAUGCAUCUGCCCCAGCAAAGAGCUUAGCACGUCCCUGGAACAAUGCAGCUAGAAAGUUACUCAGCAUGCUCUGGGUGGGAACCUUGUGGGCACUUCCAUCUAUUUCCUUUGCUCUGCCAAAGCAAACCACCCCAGGUACUGAGCCACUGCUAGGACUUUGCUCCUCUAACCAUACAGGGGAAACUUUUGGGGCCCACCUCCAGAUUCUGCACGCUUGCUUUUGCAACAGGCCUGCACCCACAGAAGUGAACAGAUGCCCAUUUUGAAUGUACAAAGACAGGCUUUGCCCACACAAAAUGGGUGUGAGCCAGCAUCUGUGGGCGGAAGACGAGCCAGCUACAUACAGAAGAGCUGCCGCACAAAUUCAGGACUAGCUGGAAACGUCAUUCGCUGUCCUUGGAAACGUCAUUCGCUGUCCUAAUAAUCAAAAACCUAGCAUUUACCAGAACUUGUGCUUGCUUUGUGAGCUGAACUCCAAGCAGAGCUACUGUAAAUAUCAUCAAGAUGGUGGCUUUUCAUCCAUUUCUAAACCCUACACGGGCUUCAAACACCCUGGAUUUUAAAACAUCAUCCUAGUUCUAGAGUACUCCAAUCUCUAGCUCUCUGAGGGGUGAGCGCAGAUAUCUGCAGACCUCAAGAAUGAGAUAGGGCCCAAACAAUUGGUGACCUGGUUUCCUCCGACAUUCCAAUUCGUGGGCUGCACUAGCCCUACCUAGCCGCUUCACCCAGAAGAUGAAGCUACAAUAUUCAGUGCUGGCAACAAUGACAGGCUGGCAAUAGUGACAAGUCUUUCUGAAUCUCAUGGGGGCCGGGGGGAAAAGGAGCCACUACCGCUGGCUGAUAGAAAUGAUAGUCUUUGUCAGAUUAGUUUGAGAGAGAGUCUGAAAAGAAACACAGCCAAAAGGAAACAUUAAAGGAAAGCACUGAGCCCUUGAUCAGAAAGGGGAGUCCCACUGACUGCAGGCGGCUAGGGAUGCUUGAUGCCUAGGACCUGACCAGACUGGACCUGCACUUCAGUCUCUUCAGCUCAGAAACGGCUGGAGUAACAGGAGCUCUCUGCUGACAUCUAAGAGCCUGUCAAGCCAGGCAGAGAACCCAAAGGAGAGAGACCCAGCAUAAAGUUUAUAAUACAAAUCCAAACCACUGCCCAGCUCUGUUUAUAGUGUAUCACUCAGCCAUACGUACAACUCUGGGGACCUUCCCUGUAGGAGAGAGCCACCAAAGGUCAGCAGAUGUUUGUGCUUGGGUUGAGUCUCUUCCAAACCC
rnacentral:lncRNA from 1 species